UGGAGGGGCUACACCUGUAUGUAGGUGAAUGGGGAGGGGCUACACCUGUAUGUAGGUGAAUGUGGAGGUUACACCUGUAUGUAGGUGAAUGUGGAGGGGCUACACCUGUAUGUAGGUGAAUGGGGAGGUUACACCUGUAUGUAGGUGAAUGUGGAGGUUACACCUGUAUGUAGGUGAAUGAGGGGGUUUACACCUGUAUGUAGGUGAAUGGGGAGGUUACACCUGUAUGUAGGUGAAUGGGGAGGUUACACCUGUAUGUAGGUGAAUGGGGAGGUUACACCUGUAUGUAGGUGAAUGGGGGGGGGGGGUUACACCUGUGUGUAGGUGAAUGAAACGGCAGGGAUGCUUUUGGCUUUGAUUCCCACAGUUUGAGAAGAUAAACUGAUGCAGUCUCUCACACGGCUUAGCGCUCACUGCUUUAGGUCCCUCUGGAAAACAGCGUCUGCCUAACGACGUGCUACUAUGAGGCUAGCCACAUGGCAUUCUUCUCUCACUCUCCCAGCCAAUAUUAUGGCUACAGUCUCCCGAAUGUGACCUUGUCACAAUACAUUUCAUGCAAAUCGGCC
ensembl:lncRNA